rnacentral:rRNA from 1 species
UACGGAGGGUGCAAGCGUUGUCCGGAAUCACUGGGCGUAAAGGGCGCGUAGGCGGCUCAUGAAGGCUGUGGUGAAAGUCCGGGGCUCAACCCUCGGAUCGGCCGUGGCGACUCGUGGGCUGGAGCACUGUAGAGGCGGGUGGAAUUCCGGGGUGUAGGUGGUGAAAUGCGUAGAGAUCGGGAGGAACACCUGUGGCGAAGGCGGCCC